AGAGUUUGAUCCUGGCUCAGGAUGAACGCUGGCGGCGUGCCUAACACAUGCAAGUCGAACGGAGUUACUUUGGUGAAGUUUUCGGAUGGAUCUGAUUUAACUUAGUGGCGGACGGGUGAGUAAUGCGUGAGCAACCUGCCCUUCAGAGGGGGACAACAGUUGGAAACGACUGCUAAUACCGCAUAAUGUAUCCGGGAGGCAUCUCCUGGAUACCAAAGGAGAAAUCCGCUGAUGGAUGGGCUCACGUCUGAUUAGCUAGUUGGUGAGGUAACGGCUCACCAAGGCUGCGAUCAGUAGCCGGACUGAGAGGUUGAACGGCCACAUUGGGACUGAGAUACGGCCCAGACUCCUACGGGAGGCAGCAGUGGGGAAUAUUGGGCAAUGGGCGCAAGCCUGACCCAGCAACGCCGCGUGAAGGAAGAAGGCUUUCGGGUUGUAAACUUCUUUUAAGUGGGAAGAGUAGAAGACGGUACCACUUGAAUAAGCCACGGCUAACUACGUGCCAGCAGCCGCGGUAAUACGUAGGUGGCGAGCGUUAUCCGGAUUUACUGGGUGUAAAGGGCGCGUAGGCGGGAAUGCAAGUCAGAUGUGAAAUCCAAGGGCUCAACCCUUGAACUGCAUUUGAAACUGUAUUUCUUGAGUGUCGGAGAGGUUGACGGAAUUCCUAGUGUAGCGGUGAAAUGCGUAGAUAUUAGGAGGAACACCAGUGGCGAAGGCGGUCAACUGGACGAUAACUGACGCUGAGGCGCGAAAGCGUGGGGAGCAAACAGGAUUAGAUACCCUGGUAGUCCACGCCGUAAACG
rnacentral:rRNA from 1 species